rfam:Steinernema glaseri strain NC unplaced genomic scaffold GLAS_6566, whole genome shotgun sequence.
UUGCUGUGAGGACAACUUAGGACACCUUUGGACUUUCCGUGAAAGUAAAAUCGUUACGAUGCUGAGCAAU